GAAGGGAGUCUUGUUCUGAGAGCACCAUUCAGACCUUCUUUCAGGAUGUUAACAGAUGCUGAUGCAGUUGGACUAUGUCCUUGAGCUUCUGCCAUCACCAUGAAAACAAGUCCUAGCCGCCAAAAGAUUGAGAGCCACAUGAAUCAAACCUAAAUCGAGCCUACAACCUGGAGCCAAGCCCAGGCAAGGCCAGGUAGAAAGUCCUUAAAAAGGGCAGCCCCGGUGGAGUAGCGGUUUAGCGCCGCCUGCAGCCCGGAAUUUGAUCCUGGGGACCCUGGAUCAAGUCCCACAUCAGGCUCCCUGCAUGGAGCUUGCUUCUACCUCUGCCUGUGCCUCUGCCUCUCUCUCUCUCUCUCUCUGUCUCUAUGAAUAAAUAAAAUCAUUAAAAAAAAAAGUCCUUAAAAAGCCUUUGGUGAUAGCAUGAGGUUCGAGUCAC